rnacentral:lncRNA from 1 species
CCACAAUCUAAUGGGGGAAGGCAACGUAGAACACGGAACAGGAGACUGGCAAGAGCGGGGAAGGGGGCGGGGCGUGUGACAUCAUCUGGGGUUCCCAGGGGGGGCAUCCUGUUCCGUGGAGAUGAAAGCCAGGGAGGCCGCGGAGGCAGAGUGGAGAGUGUUGGAAAUGCCGAUUCUGCCCUCGAUAAAGGAAGGCUUUUCGAGGAGUUUGGGGUUCUGCCCCCCGGCCCUCCAGUCACGGGGAGAGGGGGCUGAGGAAGACGAAGUCGAGACUGAGGCCCUCCCCAGCCUACCCGUCAGCGACCUAGCACUGCCCAGCCCUCCCGGAGCUUGGGUCCGUGGUUGCCGGGAAACCUUCGGUGAGCUUCCUCAGCGUUCUGAGGUUGCUAGGAGACGAGACGACGCGGGCCCAAGGGAGAGAGCAUGUGCAGCCCGGGCUCCGGGGGGCAGACAACGUUCGGGAGGGGUGCCGAUUUCCAAGCUGAGGGUUCGAGGGAGCUGGGAGACUGGAGUGAGUUCUCUCCUGGUCCCUCCUGACCCCCCCCGCCAGACAGAAGCCAGCCCAGCCGCCCUGCCUGGCAGUGCCAAGGAUGCCCCACCCAGGGGGUCCCGGGCCGUCCUGCCGCCAAGAAGAAUAUGUCUGGAGGCUAACCCAGCUCCUGGGCUCAGUGUCCCCUGGGCGAGGAGAGCUCAGCCCCUGCAGCUCGGACUCCAUCUGUACGGAGGACUUUGCCGCUUGCUUCCAAGAGGCCAUGGUGGAGGCUGUGCUGCCUAA